GAAACAAAGGGGAGCUAGUCCCAUAUUGGAACAAAGGGGUGACAAGCCCAUCCCCACACUAUAAAUACAUGUUUCUUUACUCACCCUUAAGGUAAGCCGCCACUCUCUAUUUACUCAUACCUAGUUUACAUUCUUACAUGUAUCUGACUUAAGCAUCGGAGGGUCGAAGGCCGGCUAACCUGGUAUUCCCUUUGACCUCUGUUCAUGGUUGGCAGGUAUGGAUCUCGAAAGUAGAAGCUCUCACAACAACCCCGUUUCUACCACUGAAACAUUUGGCGCUAGAAUGAGCCCUCUGGUGGUGCCACUAGCUCACCAUGAGCAAAUUCCAACACCUCACAGAAAUUUUUCUCCGACACUCAAUUUUCUUCCUCAUCUCAGAGCUCUCUGCACACAUCAAGCGUUCAUAUUCUUCACAUAUUCUCCUUGAUUUUCAUCUCCAGCACAUGAGAAUCAAAAUUUCCAGCUUCUGGGAUCCAUUUACAGAGAGCUUUGAGGAGAGAGAAAGUAGAUCUGGGAUUCUCUCUCUCCUCCAUAACUGACCUCUACCAGCUCACCUCUCUCACACAAACUCAUUCAAACGUCAAAGGAUCCUGGGUUUUGCAAAAUCAAAAAAUUUGAGUUGCUGGGUUUCAACUUUACAAAGAACUUCGAGGAGAGAGAAACUGGAUCUGGGUUUCUCUCUCUCCUCCAUCAAUGGAUCUCUGGGCAGCCCCAAGCCUCACCUCUACCAACAUCAGACUUCCCAGCGUUGGACGAGUCCCAACCCGGCUUCCGCCACCCGCCGACGCCAAAAAAGAGGCUCACGCGCAGGCACACAAUUGAUCUGGACACCCAUAUCUGGGCACCAGAUCGAGCUUUCUCUUCUCCAUCCAUUCAAUUUCUACAUACAACAUCAGCAAAAGCUCCUCUUUCCUCGAUCUCCAGGGUGUCACCACUCACUUCCCGGCACUGUUAAUUUUCUCAAUCUAUAAGAUUCUGGGUCGGGUUGAUUGGUGACAGAGGGAAAUGAGAGAGAAACUAAAUCUAAUAUCUUCUCUUUCUGGCUCGACGAACCCCGAGCUACCCACCAACAAUAACAAACUCGGGGGUUCCAUGACUACUCAGAGCUGAGGCAAAGACGAACGCAGAUCACAACCAAAGCACUCUCUCACUUCUCCCACACUGAGAUUUAAAAUUGUACGACCGCUUCAAUUGCUGCGAAAGCUUUAAUCUGAAUCGGAAUCGGAAUCUCCAUGGUGUUGAGUUUCGCCGGUACCUCGAACGUGGUCUCAUAUCUAGAGUUCGAUUUCCACCAGCCCCUCAUAUCAGUGUCGGCAACCCAAUAUCUCGGUAUCGGAAGAACAAUUAAUGAACGGUGAGGUAACCCGUAUCGGCCAACACCCAAACUUGGUCUCAGAAGAGCGCCUGUCGGUGUCGAUUUCAAUACUCAAACAAACAUCUGCUUUGAGCCCCGAACUCGGUCUCGACACCCAGAGACUUCUUUAAGGCUUGAACCCAGUCUCGCAGCAGGACUUUGGUAUCACCAUAAUACCCAUCUCGGUAUCGCAACAGCCAACAGGAUUGGGGAUGGCUCGGUCUCGCUGUUUACGCCACGUACCCACUGAUGACAAAACCCAUCUCGGUCUCGGAAUCCCAGUGACCCUCGCUCUCGACCUCGUCUUGCACCAUGUAUUGAAAAUGAAUGGAUUCACUCAGCAAAAAAAAAAAGAAAAAAAAGAGGAUGAUGAUCUGCUCAGUACACCCAGUAACAACGACCUGCCAUACUGCCAUGCCUACCGUCUCUCUUUCAUGAUCUGAUUGUUGGCCCUGAGAGCAAGUCAUCACUACUUGAGCAAAUCUGGAUAUGGUUUUAUGCUCUUCUCCGAGCAUCCCACUCUCACCCAUUGCAAUUUUCUAUGGAGUCUGAAUCCGGGCUCAAGACCUUGUCUCAAGCCGAGGACACCGCCUAAUACAACUAACCACUGAGCUAAGUCUUCAAAACCAAUAGUUACUCUAUCUAUUCUCUAUUUUGACUCACAGAAUCGUGAGAGUCAAUCAUGCAAUACACAUGCCUAGUUGCUACGUACGUGUGCUUACUACACAAAGCCACACUUGUAAUAUAUGUUCAUACUUGCACCCACCUGUUAACAUGCAUGAGGCAAUCAUUCAUAAUUACCUCUUCAUGACUGCUCAUUCAAUUGAUACCCAUGCAUAAGAUAUUAUCUGUACACAAACUUGUUGGCACCACAAUACUUAAUUGCUUCUCCCCAAUGGUUCAUUGUUUCAGUCAAUAUCUAAUGACCACCAAAGUACUCCACAAUAUACUUGUUUGGUUCAUUGUCAUCAACAAGAAGGAUCCUCCAUUGCAUUCUUGCAUACUCAUGGCAAAAGCAAUUGUGUAUCUCUCACCACUCCAACUCGGUAUUGCAACUCCCGGAGCUGGUCCUAAUAUGCUUUCGGCAUGUACAACUCGGUAUCGCAACCCUUGUCUAUCUGAGGGUGCUCUCGGGGUUGCAACUCUUCACUCAGUAUCGCAGCACUACUUGCAACUUACUGUCCACUCCAAACUCUCGACAUUACAACUGCAGGAAUUAUAACUGGGUGACUCAUCUCUUUGACUCGGUAUCGCUCAUCUCUCCCAAUUAUAUUCUCGGUAUCGCUCGUCCCAAUGAAAGUCACCGAUAGUCCUCCAACCUCUGAAUUGAAGCUCGGAAGUACAAUGUAAACCAAGCUGAGUUCAAAUUUGUCACUUCUUCGAAGGGAGAACAAUGUAUGAGAGAAGACAAGGAAUUUCGGCUUUGCACUCGUGGUAGCAACCGAGACAAGAAAAAAAGAGGUUCUGUUAUGGACACCCAUGCUACGGACACUCAAUUGUGCAGCAACAGCAGCUGCAAACAUUACCAAUGCGUGCACAUCUCUCUUGGUCAACCAAGUAAUCAAUAUGCACAAACCUGCAUAGAAACAAGGGAGGAUCCUUCUUGACACCUAGACAAUUCAUAUGGACACCCUGCAUCUUCUACCUUCAAGGCUGCGAGCUGCCUUCUUGAAGCACCAGUAACUUGCUGUGAUCCUACCGCACGAAAGGCAAUAACCUCACCAUGAAUUAAGGAAUCUACAAGUCGAGAUUCUUGUGGAGUAUAGGAGAAAAUAAAGGAGAAAAGACGCAUGAAAGGCGAAAUCAGGAAAUCAGCCUGUGCAGAUCAGUCAACUUCGACAGAGCACUGAGAGCAGCUCAAAACGAACUAUAUAAUGAUCUUUAUAUUGUUGAAAAACCUCAGAUGUCUAGUUUUCACAGCUUUUUACGGUUCGUCGAUAUCAUUUUUCUAGAAGAAGUUAUGGCCGAUUUAGUAUAGGAAGGUCAGGCUGCGCGUGAAUCUGGUUUUUGACGGAAAUUUAUAUUUACAUGAAGAUUCUAGAGUCUAUGACGUCCAAAUGCUUUCCCAAUCAUACUUGGAUACGAAUUGGGGAUGAUGACUCAAUCUUGAUGACAUGAAAUUAUUUUAUUGGCCUGAAAGUAAUUAAAGUUUGCAUCAAUCGAA